CGGAGGGGUGCGAGCGUUGUCCGGAAUCACUGGGCGUAAAGGGCGCGUAGGCGGCCUGAUAAGUAGGGGGGUGAAAUCCUGCGGCUUAACCGCAGGGCUGCCUUCUAAACUGUCAGGCUGGAGCACAGUAGAGGCAGGUGGAAUUCCCGGUGUAGCGGUGGAAUGCGUAGAGAUCGGGAAGAACAUCAGUGGCGAAGGCGGCCUGCUGGGCUGUUGCUGACGCUGAGGCGCGACAGCGUGGGGAGCAAACAGGAUUAGAUACCCUGGUAGUCCACGCCGUAAACGAUGGGCACUAGGCGUCGGGGGGAGCGACCCUCCCGGUGCCGUCGCUAACGCAGUAAGUGCCCCGCCUGGGGAGUACGGCCGCAAGGCUG
rnacentral:rRNA from 1 species